rnacentral:rRNA from 1 species
GAUGAACGCUGGCGGCGUGCCUAAUACAUGCAAGUCGAGCGAACAGAUAAGGAGCUUGCUCCUUUUACGUUAGCGGCGGACGGGUGAGUAACACGUGGGUAACCUACCUAUAAGACUGGGAUAACUUCGGGAAACCGGAGCUAAUACCGGAUAACAUUUGGAACCGCAUGGUUCUAAAGUGAACGAUGGUUUUGCUAUCACUUAUAGAUGGACCCGCGCCGUAUUAGCUAGUUGGUAAGGUAACGGCUUACCAAGGCGACGAUACGUAGCCGACCUGAGAGGGUGAUCGGCCACACUGGAACUGAGACACGGUCCAGACUCCUACGGGAGGCAGCAGUAGGGAAUAUUCCGCAAUGGGCGAAAGCCUGACGGAGCAACGCCGCGUGAGUGAUGAAGGGUUUCGGAUCGUAAAACUCUGUUAUUAGGGAAGAACAAACGUGUAAGUAACUGUGCACGUCUUGACGGUACCUAAUCAGAAAGCCACGGCUAACUACGUG